GUGGGGAAUAUUGGACAAUGGGGGGAACCCUGAUCCAGCCAUGCCGCGUGUGUGAAGAAGGCCUUUUGGUUGUAAAGCACUUUAAGCGAGGAGGAGGCUACCGAGAUUAAUACUCUUGGAUAGUGGACGUUACUCGCAGAAUAAGCACCGGCUAACUCUGUGCCAGCAGCCGCGGUAAUACAGAGGGUGCAAGCGUUAAUCGGAUUUACUGGGCGUAAAGCGCGCGUAGGUGGCCAAUUAAGUCAAAUGUGAAAUCCCCGAGCUUAACUUGGGAAUUGCAUUGGAUGCUGGGUGGCUAGAGUAUGGGAGAGGAUGGUAGAAGUCCAGGUGUAGCGGUGAAAUGCGUAGAGAUCUGGAGGAAUACCGAUGGCGAAGGCAGCCAUCUGGCCUAAUACUGACACUGAGGUGCGAAAGCAUGGGGAGCAAACUGGAUUAGAAACCCCGGUAGUCC
rnacentral:rRNA from 1 species